rnacentral:lncRNA from 1 species
AUAGUGGUGGAGAAUUCUAGAUCACUCAACCCUGUAUUUUUCUCUGAUGUUAGCAUUGACAGCCAGGAAGUUGGUGGCAUGAAGACUGAGAUGUUUGCUAAUGUGAUGUCUAAGACGGAAGAGAAGUUUAGGAAAUUCUGCAGUUGAGAGUUCAGAAAGGAUGCUGCUACUAUAGGAUACAAAGGAAGCUCCUUCUAUACAAUCAUAAAGGAUUUUGUGAUCUAGGGUGGCGGUUUUGUUAAUGGUGAUGGUUCUGGGGUUGCCUGUACUUAACAUGGUCAAUUUAUAGCAGAAAACAAUGGUCCCAGGACAAAUGGGUGCCAGUUCUUCAUCACAUGUCCUAAUUGUAAUUGGCUGGAUAGGAGGCAUAUAGUCAUUGAUAGACUUCUAGUGAUGCAAAAGAUCGAGAAUAUUCCCACAGGUCUCACCAGUAAGCCCAAAAUGCCAGUCAUAAUCUCACAGUAUGGAGAAAUAUAA